rnacentral:rRNA from 1 species
CUCGUAGGCGGUUCGUCGCGUCCGGUGUGAAAGUCCAUCGCUUAACGGUGGAUCUGCGCCGGGUACGGGCGGGCUGGAGUGCGGUAGGGGAGACUGGAAUUCCCGGUGUAACGGUGGAAUGUGUAGAUAUCGGGAAGAGCACCAAUGGCGAAGGCAGGUCUCUGGGCCGUUACUGACGCUGAGGAGCGAAAGCGUGGGGAGCGAACA